GGUAGAGGGGGGACUCCUACGCACACGUGCUGGAGUUUCUGCUCAGACUCAAACACGGAACAAUCUAUGUGCCCGCUAACUGCCGCCCACGUUCUCCAGUGAGGUGCAGGCCAGCUCUGUGGGACUGCUGGAGGGACAGUGCCACCCCUCAACUCCAGGCUGUGCGAUGGGAGGCUAAGGACCCAGGAGUCCGGCCAUGGCUGCGGAGAUGCCAUCACCCUAAGGAAAGAGGGAGGCAUCUUCUGAGGAAUCGCCUUCAGAACCCGAGGCACGUCUGUUCAUACCUUCAAUCCUGACAAGCUGUUUUUGAAGGCGAAUAUGAUGUUUGGAACCAUCCAGAAGUCAUUUGGAGUCCAGUGAAAAAGCCAGCGAUCAAGGGGAAAAUAAAGGUCUGAGUGAAAAGGUAGCAACCAAACAAAUAGGAGUGUGGAAGGGGAAGAGUUCCAACAGGAGUCGGACAAGAUCACUUCGGGCAGAAGUGGGAGCUUCGUGGAACGGCUUCUGCCUUGCCAAAGAAGACAGUUGAGGUGUUUGACAGCAGGGAAGUUUAAAAGAAUUUCAAAGAAGAAAAGGACCUUAUAGGUCAUAGUUUCCAGUCUUCUUAUUUUAAUACCGAAGUUCAUAUAGGUGGUUUAACUUGUCCGAAGUCAUACUACUAGCUGACGGCUUUUGGACAAUUUAGCUAUAUCUGACCUUUACAGUUCAUGUCACAUGGAGUUCCAAGCACAUGAUCUUCCUGGAUCAUCACAUCAGCCAGGUGACAGUGAUAGAACCACUUCUGUUAGACAGGCGAGGGGACAGAUGAGUGCUAAGAAGAAUGCCAGGUCUUAGGAUCUAGCCCCUUAACACUAAAUCCACGUCCUCAGAUCCAAUAAACUUUCCUCAUUCUUUUGGGGGGGCUGGGGGCGCCGACUACGCAUUAGAUGCUUGACUAGACAAAGACGUGACCUCUGCCCCCAAAGAGCACACAGUUCCCGGAGGGCAGAUAAAUAAACAGAUGAUGCCAAUCGGGUCUAAUGAACGCUCCGGUCUUCUGCUCCUGGCAUGCAAUCACUUCCACAGUAAUGCUGGCUUUUCCUGGGAAAAACACAGCAGCAGCCCGUCGCUGAAUCAUCCAGAGAGGAGGCACCAACAGCUUUGCCUCCCAACUCGGAAAUAUCUUACUCAACCUCCUCCCACCCACCAUCACCACCUGUAGGUUUGGAACCAAAAAAGGCUUUGGAAACUAAAGAUCAUGUGCUAAUAGGAUGUUAAAGCGAAGCCACCUCACCACCAACCACCAGAGGUAGUUUGUGUAACUGUGUUAUUCCCGAGCCCCGUGAUUCGUUUCAUGACUUCAGCUCCUGGCACUUUGUUAGGUUUGAAAGUGUUGCUUAUCCAGAGAGCUCAGAGAUUGCUUUUGGCAAAGGGCUCAAAGCAGGCGGAUCCAACCCUUCUCGCUGUCUCUCUCUUGUUGCCAAAAUAUAAGACUCUUGGAUUUAUGGGAAACUCGUGUGAAUUCUCCUUCCGAUGAAUAACCUGAGACUGCAGUUAAAAUUAAGUAGGAGAGGGGCUUCCCUGGUGGCACAGUGGUUAAGAAUCCACCUGCCAAUGCAGGGGACACGGGUUCGAGCCCUGGUCCAGGAAGAUCCCACAUGCCGCGGAGCAACUAAGCCCAUGCGCCACAACUACUGAGCCUGCGCUCUAGAGCCCACGAGUCACAACUACUGAGCCCACGUGCCGCAUCUACUGAAGCCCACGCGCUCUAGAGCCUGUGCUCCGCAACAAGAGAAGCCACCGCAGUGAGAAGCCCGCGCACUGCAAUGAAGAGUAGCCCCUGCUCACCGCAACUAGAGAAAGCCCACGUGCAGCAAUGAAGACCCUACACAGCCAAAAAUAAUAAAUAAAUAAAAAUAAAUAAAUUAAAAAAAAAAUAAGUAGGAGAGGAAGACUGGGAAUCAGGAGGACUAGGAUCUGGCUCUGAAUUUGCUUCUUAUUAAAAUUAUCUCUAAGGUUUCUAACAAUUCUGGCCCGGUAUACACUCAAAAUAUUACUUCAUUUCGGAGAAUACUUACUGAGUACAUAUUACAGGCUGGUCAUUACGGUAGGCAUUGGGAUAAAAAGAUGAAAGUCCCGCCCCCCUAACAAGUAGCAGACAGAUUCCCUAGAGAGUUAAGCAGCUAACUGGAACUCAGCCAGAGGCAUGGGCUCCCAGAGGUGUGCAUGGGAAGCUGUGGGGCACAGAAGCAAGGCACUGUGUACCUUCCGAUCCACCGAAGAAGACCAGAACAUGCCACCGCAAAAUAUGUCACUUUGGCAUUUUGUUUUGAACUGAAAGCACUUGGGAAACAGCAGAUGCAGGAAGGGCUCUCCUACCUCCCCCUCUUCUGCUUGAAAGCAGGACACAAAUUUUCCAUGGGAAGGGUACCCUCCCUGUACCAGAAAGAGGUGACUAUUCCUACAGCCAAGAUGGGGAGUUGACCCUGAGAUGAAUCUGUAAAACAAACUUCCUAAAAUAGCCUUUAUCUUCCAUUAGUUUCCCCCAUAUGUUUCCUAGGCACUUUCCCGUAAUUUACCGCUCCUAGCCCAAACCCCUUUCUCCUUUGUCUUGUCACAUCUCUACAAUUUAUCGUUCUUUGUGGAAAUGGUAUGUAAGCUCUCAGGCCUGUCUACUUCUUUGGAUCUUCUUUUCUAUGAAGGCUUCUGUGUCAUGUAACCAUAUUAACAUCAAAUAAA